CCCUUAGAUGUUCUGGGCCGCACGCGCGCUACACUGAUGCAUUCAACGAGUUUCUUCCUGGUCCGAGAGGAAUGGGUAACCUUUUGAAAGUGCAUCGUGAUAGGGAUAGACUAUUGCAAUUAUUGGUCUUCAACGAGGAAUUCCUAGUAGACGUAGUUCAUCAGACUGCAUCGAUUACGUCCCUGCCCUUUGUACACACCGCCCGUCGCUCCUACCGAUUGAAUGCUCAGGUGAGCCAUUCGGACUUUCAUCAUGCUGGUUUCCAGUUUUAAUGAAGGAAAGUCUUGCGAACCUUAUCAUUUAGAGGAAGGAGAAGUCGUAACA
rnacentral:rRNA from 1 species